rnacentral:rRNA from 1 species
ACCCGCUGAACUUAAGCAUAUCAAUAAGCGGAGGAAAAGAAACCAACAGGGAUUGCCCUAGUAACGGCGAGUGAAGCGGCAACAGCUCAAAUUUGAAAUCUGGCUCUUUUAGAGUCCGAGUUGUAAUUUGCAGAGGGCGCUUUGGCUUUGGCAGCGGUCCAAGUUCCUUGGAACAGGACGUCACAGAGGGUGAGAAUCCCGUACGUGGUCGCUGGCUAUUGCCGUGUAAAGCCCCUUCGACGAGUCGAGUUGUUUGGGAAUGCAGCUCUAAAUGGGAGGUACAUUUCUUCUAAAGCUAAAUAUUGGCCAGAGACCGAUAGCGCACAAGUAGAGUGAUCGAAAGAUGAAAAGCACUUUGGAAAGAGAGUCAAACAGCACGCGAAAUUGUUGAAAGGGAAGCGCUUGCAGCCAGACUUGCUUACAGUUGCUCAUCCGGGCUUUUGCCCGGUGCACUCUUCUGUAGGCAGGCCAGCAUCAGUUUGGGCGGUAGGAUAAAGGUCUCUGUCACGUACCUCUCUUCGGGGAGGCCUUAUAGGGGAGACGACAUACUACCAGCCUGGACUGAGGUCCGCGCAUCUGCUAGGAUGCUGGCGUAAUGGCUGU